rnacentral:rRNA from 1 species
AGAAUCAACGCUGGCGGCGUGCCUAACACAUGCAAGUCGAACGAGAAAGUGGAGCAAUCCAUGAGUAAAGUGGCGCACGGGUGAGUAACACGUGACUAACCUACCCUUGAGUGGGGGAUAACCUAGAGAAAUCUGGGCUAAUACCGCAUAAUACCUUCGGGUCAAAGGAGCAAUUCGCUUAAGGAGGGGGUCGCGGCCGAUUAGUUAGUUGGCGGGGUAAUGGCCCACCAAGACUAUGAUCGGUAUCCGGCCUGAGAGGGCGCACGGACACACUGGAACUGAAACACGGUCCAGACUCCUACGGGAGGCAGCAGUGGGAAUUUUGCGCAAUGGGGGAAACCCUGACGCAGCAACGCCGCGUGGAGGAUGAAGUCCCUUGGGACGUAAACUCCUUUCGAUCGGGACGAUUAUGACGGUACCGGAAGAAGAAGCCCCGGCUAACUUCGUGCCAGCAGCCGC